GUCCCUGUAGUGCAUUGGGUAGUUGGACUUCUAAUCCAAAUGUCGUGGGUUCGAAUCCCAUCUGGGACG